CAACAGGGAUUGCCCUAGUAACGGCGAGUGAAGCGGCAACAGCUCAAAUUUGAAAUCUGGCCUCGGCCCGAGUUGUAAUUUGCAGAGGAUGUUUCUGGCGCGGUGCCUUCCGAGUUCCCUGGAACGGGACGCCACAGAGGGUGAGAGCCCCGUAUGGUUGGACACCAAGCCUGUGUGAAACUCCUUCGACGAGUCGAGUAGUUUGGGAAUGCUGCUCUAAAUGGGAGGUAAAUCUCUUCUAAAGCUAAAUACCGGCCAGAGACCGAUAGCGCACAAGUAGAGUGAUCGAAAGAUGAAAAGCACCUUGAAAAGGGGGUUAAACAGUACGUGAAAUUGUUGAAAGGGAAGCGCUCAUGACCAGACUUGUGCCGGGCGGUUCAUCCGGGGUUCUCCCCGGUGCACUCCGCCCGGCUCAGGCCAGCAUCGGUUCUCGUUGGGGGAUAAGAACGGUAGGAACGUGGCCCUCCCUCGGGAGGGUGUUAUAGCCUGCCGUACGAUACCCUGACGGGGACCGAGGUUCGCGCUCCGCAAGGAUGCUGGCGUAAUGGUCAUCAGCGACCCGUCUUGAAACACGGACCAAGGAGUCGUCCAUUAGAGCGAGCGUUUGGGUGUAAAACCCGCACGCGUAAUGAAAGUGAAAUUAGGUGAGAGCUUCGGCGCAUCAUCGACCGAUCCUGAUGUUCUCGGAUGGAUUUGAGUAAGAGUUUUAACGGACGGACCCGAAAGACAGUGAACUAUGCUUGUAUAGGGUGAAGCCAGAGGAAACUCUGGUGGAGGCUCGCAGCGGUUCUGACGUGCAAAUCGAUCGUCAAAUAUGAGCAUGGGGGCGAAAGACUAAUCGAACUGUCUA
rnacentral:rRNA from 1 species